UACGCGCGUGUUUCUGUCUACAAGUUUGUGUGCAUAUGCCUGCGCAUGUGUUUUUGUGAGUGUGUGUGCACGUGUGUGUGUGUGUGUGUGUGUGGUAAUAGUAAUCAAUAUUGUGACUCAUUCUUUCUACUGCGGCUACUUCCUAACAGCAUUCAUUAGCCCAAACGCAAUCUUUGCGCCCGAUAAUCACAUCCUGCCAGGCUCCAUCUUCUUCUCUGGUUGGCAUCAGACCAGCAAAUGAAGAUAAGUCGCACAUCAUUAAAACGCCAUGAUGGCUAACUGCUAGCAUGCGAACAGACAACCAAUCCAGACGUCUUAUUUCCGGCUCUCGACCGACUCUUCCACCCACCCGUUCGGCGGCUCUGCUCACCUGAGGCUCGGCCGCCUGGUGACGCUCAAUCUCCGGUUGUCUUCUCCCCGCCGGGUCCCUGGCAGCCUCCGCGGGGCAUGGCGGCUCACGGAGAGGUUCGACGUCUGCGGGAUGUGACGCUUUUCCGUCCGCUGUCCUCUCACAGAGCGUCGCACGUCGUCCCCGCCGUAUGCUCCAUCUUUCGCUCCGGUGCGUCGUCGUCUGACUCGGGUGUCUUAUGUCUGUCCGUGAUGUUGCUUUCAGGCAGGUUGGCGCUGACAUCACAGCACACGCGGAAAUGGCGACCUCCGGCGUGGUAAUUUGUCAUUGCAAGCGCGUUAACCCGAGGACGUUCAACUCACUGUUGUUUUUUUUUUUGUCCAAUCAGAUUUCAGCCUCCUGUGUUGCCACGUCAAUCUUAAUCUGCCCACAACCUUCAAAAUCAGUAUGGACUAUAUUAGCAAUUGGACUGUUUACAGCCAAAUUUGACUCGCAAAACACAUCUGUAGCGAUCUGCACAUGUCGGUAAACUUUGCCAUUAAUGCGAUCCAGCAACCGCCCCCCCCCAAAAAAAAAAAGUUUUGUAAUGUGUACUUUAAUGACAAUAAAUAACACUGUAUUUUACAUCAUUAAAAAAGAUACAGUAAUGACGAGAAUGUAAAAAGUUAAACCAUUGUUGUCACACUUUUUUGCUUCUAUGGUCAUUAUGCUGCGAGUUGUGGACAUAUAGUAUAAAAUUGAUCACAUAAUUCUGACUGUUAAAAUUGUUAGUUGCUUUGGUCUGCAGCCUUCAUUUACUAAAAUCAAGACAAAUGACUGUAAGCAUGAGCAGUUAUGUUUAAAAAUAUAUGUUUUCAAAGGCUGUUUUGAACAUGUCUUUAAUGUUCCUUACUUCUAUAAACAUGGGUCGUGACUUAGUGACAAUAGAAAUAUACGGGUCCCAGGGUGACAACAAUUGAGAACCAAUGGGCUACAGAAUAUAUCCCAUCUCUCUGUGGCAUCCUGCUGAUGACACUCUUAAGCUCAAUGGCGAGUUGUGCUGCCGAAGUGACGGAAGACUUGAAGGUGGAGGUGGGACUGUAUCAAGGGCGGGUUC